UGGGGAAUAUUGUGCAAUGGAGGCAACUCUGACACAGCAACGCCGCGUGAGUGAAGAAGGUUUUCGGAUCGUAAAACUCUGUCUUUGGGGAAGAAAUAAAUGACGGUACCCAAGGAGGAAGCCCCGGCUAACUACGUGCCAGCAGCCGCGGUAAUACGUAGGGGGCAAGCGUUGUCCGGAAUCACUGGGCGUAAAGAGCACGUAGGCGGUUUUUUAAGUCAGAUGUGAAAGUUUGCGGCUCAACCGUAAAAGUGCAUUUGAAACUGAAAGACUUGAGUCUCGGAGAGGUAAGCGGAAUUCCUAGUGUAGCGGUGAAAUGCGUAGAGAUUAGGAAGAACACCGGUGGCGAAGGCGGCUUACUGGACGAGUACUGACGCUCAGGUGCGAAAGCGUGGGGAGCAAACA
rnacentral:rRNA from 1 species